UGGCAGGACUCACUUGCGGGCUGCGUGGGGCUCCCCGAACCCGAGAAAGCGGAUUUGGGGGCCGGGACGACCCGGGUGGGAGAUGGCGGCACGAUGGAGCAGCGAGAACGUGGUGGUGGAGUUCCGCGACUCCCAGGCAACGGCAAUGUCUGUGGACUGUCUCGGGCAGCAUGCAGUGCUUUCUGGCCGCCGGUUCCUAUACAUCGUUAAUCUAGAUGCCCCUUUCGAAGGUCACCGAAAGAUCUCUCGCCAGAGCAAGUGGGACAUUGGUGCUGUGCAGUGGAAUCCUCAUGACAGCUUUGCACACUACUUCGCAGCUUCGAGUAACCAACGGGUCGACCUCUAUAAGUGGAAAGACGGCUGUGGGGAAGUUGGCACAACCUUACAGGGCCAUACUCGUGUAAUCAGCGACUUGGACUGGGCAGUGUUUGAACCGGAUCUCCUCGUUACCAGCUCUGUGGACACCUACAUCUACAUUUGGGAUAUCAAAGACACAAGGAAGCCUACCAUUGCACUGUCUGCUGUAGCGGGUGCCUCACAGGUCAAAUGGAAUAAGAAAAAUGCUAAUUGCCUUGCCACCAGCCACGAUGGGGAUGUACGGAUAUGGGACAAGCGGAAACCUAGUACGGCAGUGGAAUAUCUAGCAGCCCAUCUGUCCAAAAUCCACGGCCUGGACUGGCACCCAGACAGCGAGCACAUUCUUGCUACCUCCAGUCAAGAUAAUUCUGUCAAGUUCUGGGAUUACCGCCAGCCUCGGAAAUACCUCAAUAUUCUCCCUUGCCAGGUGCCUGUCUGGAAGGCCAGAUACACUCCUUUCAGCAAUGGAUUAGUCACUGUGAUGGUCCCCCAGCUGCGGAGGGAGAAUAGUCUCCUCUUGUGGAAUGUCUUUGACUUGAACACCCCUGUCCAUACCUUUGUGGGGCACGAUGACGUGGUGCUGGAGUUCCAGUGGAGGAAGCAGAAGGAAGGAUCCAAGGACUACCAACUGGUUACGUGGUCACGGGACCAGACCUUAAGAAUGUGGCGAGUGGAUUCCCAGAUGCAGAGGCUUUGUGCAAAUGACAUAUUAGAUGGUGUUGAUGAGUUCAUCGAGAGCAUUUCUCUUCUGCCGGAACCAGAGAAGACCCUUCACGCGCAGGACACAGAUCACCAGCACAGCUUAAGCCAUGGAGAGGAAGAAGUCUUAAAGGAAGAUCCCCCGGGCAGUCUCCUGGAAGAGAAGAAAUCAGAUCAGCCGGGACUGCCUCAGACUCUGCAGCAGGAGUUCUCCCUGAUCAACGUGCAGAUCCGGAAUGUCAACGUGGAGAUGGACGCAGCGGAUAGGAGUUGCACAGUGUCUGUGCACUGUAGCAACCAUCGUGUCAAGAUGCUGGUGAAGUUCCCGGCACAGUAUCCAAACAAUGCCGCCCCUUCCUUCCAGUUUAUCAACCCCACGACCAUCACGUCCACGAUGAAAGCGAAGCUGCUAAAGAUCCUGAAGGACACUUCCCUGCAAAAAGUGAAACGCAACCAGAGCUGUUUGGAGCCCUGCGUGCGCCAGCUCGUCUCCUGUCUGGCGUCUUUCGUGAAUCAAGAAGACAGUGCUUCCAGCAACCCCUUUGCGCUCCCAAACUCCGUCACCCCACCCUUGCCAACGUUUGCCCGGGUGACCACCGCCUAUGGGUCGUACCAGGAUGCCAAUAUUCCCUUUCCUAGGACCUCGGGGGCCAGGUUCUGUGGAGCAGGCUAUCUGGUGUAUUUCACAAGGCCCAUGACGAUGCAUCGAGCAGUAUCCCCGACAGAACCUACUCCGAGGUCUCUCUCGGCCUUGUCUGCUUAUCAUACUGGUUUGAUUGCGCCAAUGAAGAUCCGCACAGAGGCCCCUGGGAACCUUCGUUUAUACAGUGGGAGCCCCACUCGCAGUGAGAAAGAGCAGGUCUCCGUCAGCUCCUUCUACUACAAGGAGCGGAAAUCAAGGAGAUGGAAAAGCAAGCGCGAGGGAUCGGACUCUGGCAACCGACCAAUCAAGGCUGCUGGGAAAGUUGUCAUCCAGGAUAUUGCGUGCCUCCUUCCUGUUCACAAGUCACUGGGCGAGCUGUACAUAUUAAAUGUAAAUGAUAUUCAAGAAACGUGUCAGAAGAACGCCACUUCUGCCUUGCUUGUUGGAAGGAAGGAUCUUGUCCAGGUUUGGUCGCUGGCUACAGUAGCUACAGAUCUUUGCCUUGGUCCGAAGUCUGAUCCAGAUUUGGAAACACCCUGGGCUCGGCAUCCAUUCGGGCGGCAGCUGCUGGAGUCACUGUUGGCUCAUUACUGUCAGCUCCGGGAUGUGCAGACGCUGGCCAUGCUCUGCAGUGUGUUCGAAGCCCAGUCCCGGCCUCAGGGGAUACCAAACCCUUUUGGGCCUUUUCCCAGUCGUUCAUCUAAUCUGGUGGUGUCCCACAGUCGAUACCCCAGCUUCACCUCCUCUGGUUCCUGCUCGAGCAUGUCAGACCCAGGGCUCAACACCGGUGGCUGGAACAUAGCGGGGAGAGAGAUAGAACACAUAUCUUCACCUUGGGGAGAGUCUUCACCAGAAGAAAUCCGCUUCGGGAGUCUGACCUACAGUGAUCCUCGUGAGCGAGAGCGUGACCAGCAUGAUAAGAACAAAAGGCUCCUGGAUCCUGCUAAUACCCAGCAGUUCGAUGACUUUAAGAAAUGCUAUGGAGAAAUCCUCUAUCGCUGGGGUCUGAGAGAGAAGCGAGCGGAAGUGCUGAAGUUUGUCUCCUGUCCCCCUGACCCUCACAAAGGGAUCGAGUUCGGCGUGUACUGCAGCCACUGCCGGAGCGAGGUCCGCGGCACGCAGUGCACCAUCUGCAAGGGCUUCACGUUCCAGUGCGCCAUCUGCCACGUGGCAGUUCGGGGAUCGUCCAAUUUCUGCCUGACCUGCGGGCACGGGGGACACACCAGCCACAUGAUGGAGUGGUUCCGGACCCAGGAGGUGUGUCCCACCGGGUGUGGGUGUCACUGCCUGCUUGAAAGCACUUUCUGAGCUCACAGACCGUGGGAAUUGUCGGACAUCCCAGAGGACCCCAUGAGUGCCGGCGACAAGCUCUCUGCCAGGAGCGAGGCUGAGCACCCAUUCCUCCCUAGACGGGGGUGUGCCCCUCCCGGACCGUCCAGCACCGCUUGCCCUCUCUUCCGAGGGGGCAUGGAUGUUGCUCGAGCAAAUGGAAAAUGAGGCGGCAUCGCAGCACUGAGGUAACAGUCUCCAUUGCCGCGUGCAGGCGGGCUGAGCUCCGGUAAGUGCCUUCACUCUCCUUCGCACACUUCGCCCCGCGUUUAUCUGGGUGCUGACCGGUUAUGACUCAGUUCUUCAGAACCAUUUUCAACGCUUCGCAUUUCGUAUGUGCAGGAAAAAGAAAUCUUUUUUAUAUUGCUACUGAAAUUUAUAUUUGUUUCUUAGAAUUCUACCAUUUCAAAUUGAUUAGCUUAAGAAAUAUAGCUACAUGUGUUGUACAUCGUUGUGUUUUAAACUACAGGUCAGGACUCAUUAAUGGACUGUGAAAUCAAUUAAGUGGAUAAAAAACAGCAUUAAAAAAUGAAAUAGAGUAGAAGAAAAAUGAUCAGAAUUUCCACACUAGUUAGGGCCAAUAUUGUUUUGUGUAACUUGUAUUUACAAGUAUAUAUGCACGCACUGCACAUGUGUAGUAGUAGAUCACAAUGUAAAUGCAUUUUUUUACUGAAGCUUAUGGUCAAAACAUUUUUAAAACACUGUUUUGGAUGUUUAUACUUUGUCCCGUGUGUUACUGGGUUAGAAAAGCCUCGGUCCUUGCCCUGGCUGGUGUGGCUCAUGGACCAAAAGGUCAUCGGUUCGAUUCCCAGUCAGGGCACAUACCCAGCUUGUGGGUUCAUUGCUGGUGCAUGCGGGAGACAACUGAUCGAUAUUUCUCUCUCACAUCGAUGUUUCUCUCUUUCUCUCUCCCUUCCUCGUGCUCUAAAAAUCAAUUAAAAACAUUAAAAAAAAUUUUAAAAAAAGAAAAGCCUCGGUCCUUUUCAGUGAGAGCAGAGCUUUAACUCUGGGC